rnacentral:tRNA from 1 species
AACAAAGAAGUAAAAAAAUUUACAUCUAAUUUCGACCUAGAUAUAAGGAAACAUAUUCCUCAUGUUU